rnacentral:lncRNA from 1 species
AGCAGCGUAGCUGAACAUCUUACGGAUGGCCCAGGGCUCCAAAGGCUCGUUUCCUAAGUGAGAGAGAGCCUGGCUGAAGCUGUAUUACCAUUCAUUCUCCAGCCUCCGAAGUCUCAAAGCAUCACUUCCACCAUACUCUAACUGUCAAGACAAACACAAAGGCCCAGAGAAGGGGUCUCACUAUGUUGUCUGGAGUGCUGUGGUGGAGUGGAGUGGCUAUUCACAGAGCCUGUUCUGCUGGGACACAGAAUCACUUGCUCCAUCUCAUACAUUGAUGAUGAUUAAUUUGUAUGUGUACCUUCCAAAAAAGAUGGUUGUGUUUGAAUGGAGGCCUUCUGGACAGGAAAAUAUGGAGAGUGCGUGCUUUGGAUUCAAGACUGGGAAUGAGGGGACCAGAAACCUAUUCUGUGGCUGUUUCUUGUUAGGACUUUCCUAAGCCUCUGGAAAAGUGCAAAGUACAAUUAACAUUUGAGUCUGUCUGAGUCAUGAAGAAAUGGAGAUUACUGAAAAUAAUUCAUUUUGGUAUCUUCUUACAUCCUGAGAGACUAAUCUUUCCAAGUUCAUCUGAGGCUCCUCUUCUCCAUGACAACCUCAUCCAGGGAUUUCUUCCUGUCCUGGUGUUUUAUGACAUAAUCACAUCCUUCCUGAGAUAAUGAGCACACAAUUGCCUGGAUACCUGAAGGAAUGGAGACAGCGGCAGAAAACACUGCAGAGAGGUGGAAACAUCCGUUAAUAUUUUAAAAUCCCAUUACUGCUACCAACAAUAAUAAUGGAUGCAUAGAAAUAGAUCUGGAUUAGCUGAGCUUGAAACAGUCCAUCUCACACACACACAAAAGAAUUUCAGAUACAGUGAACCCACAUGUUGAAGCUUUCUAGUAUAAUAAAAAUUUCAACUGUUCUGUUGAAUCAUCUGCCUGAUUGGAGGCUACAGAAAAGAUGUCAUCUUAGGAGUGCUUGCUCUGAGUGAGGCUCAUCUUCAAAUCUGAAUGACCACAAGGAGAUUUGAUUAUACAUGUGAACACCUCAGAAGGCACAGCCCACCCAGAAGGCAGACAGGAGGAGACAGACACUAGAGCUCACCGGCUCGCCCUCUCACUCCUACUCAUCUGAGAAGGCAGCCAGCUAACCCUUCAGCCAGGAAGAGGGUCCUCAUCAGAACCUGGCCGUGGUGGCAUCCAGAUCUUGAACCUCCGGACUCCAGACUGUGAGAAAAUAAGUGUGUUGUUUAAACUA